AGUGAACGCUGGCGGUAGGCCUAACACAUGCAAGUCGAACGGCAGCACAGUAAGAGCUUGCUCUUACGGGUGGCGAGUGGCGGACGGGUGAGGAAUACAUCGGAAUCUACUUUUUCGUGGGGGAUAACGUAGGGAAACUUACGCUAAUACCGCAUACGACCUACGGGUGAAAGCAGGGGAUCUUCGGACCUUGCGCGAUUGAAUGAGCCGAUGUCGGAUUAGCUAGUUGGCGGGGUAAAGGCCCACCAAGGCGACGAUCCGUAGCUGGUCUGAGAGGAUGAUCAGCCACACUGGAACUGAGACACGGUCCAGACUCCUACGGGAGGCGGCAGUGGGGAAUAUUGGACAAUGGGCGCAAGCCUGAUCCAGCCAUACCGCGUGGGUGAAGAAGGCCUUCGGGUUGUAAAGCCCUUUUAUUGGGAAAGAAAAGCAGUAGGUUAAUACCCCGCUGUUCUGACGGUACCCAAAGAAUAAGCACCGGCUAACUUCGUG
rnacentral:rRNA from 1 species